rnacentral:lncRNA from 1 species
AGUUCCCCAAACUAUCAGCCCAACAACUUGCAUCACAGGACUCAAGAGAAGUCAGGGAUGAAUCCUUGGACAAAGCCUUGAUAUGGGGACGGUGGUCCUGGGGACUGAAAGGCUGGGGUGUGCUAGGUGCUGGUAUCUGGGAGCUUUGGGCUCAAUGCCAUGGGGAUCCCAGCACUCAAUGUUCUUCCUCUGAUCCCUGGUUGCCUCCUGUGCCCCGGGGCUGGGGCAGGGAAUGGCUGCAUGCCAGGUCAGUCUGUGCCAACGGAGCCUGCCAAACCCAGGGGCACUUGGGGGUUGUGGGAGGGACAGUGGGAGGAUAAAUGCAGCCCUUGCUUCCUGCAGCCUCACCCAGCUCCCAGAGCACAGAGGAAGAUGAAGGCAGCUGCGCUCAGCCUCGUGAUGCUCCUCGCUGCCCUGUGCUGCACAGUGGAAGCUCAGGAACCACCACCUGUCGUCGUUGACAUUCCUGGUCCUGUCGUGCUCAGCAGAGCAGAGGAGAAUCCCCCACGUGAGAAACGCGCGGUCCUGGAUCUGCAUGUCUAGGUGAGCAGCACGGGGACACCUGCAGCCCCACAGGGCACUUGGGGACCUUGGGUGUCCCGUAGCUCUAAGGACCAGGGAUCAGGGGCUGGGGAUGGAUGGUAUGGAGGGGACUGUCCCUGGCCUGCUCCAGGGGGACCUGGGCACUGUCACCUCCAUACCUUCCCUUGCACUCUAUGGGGCAGAGCAGAGGAGGGGAUUUGGAAGGGUCAAGCUCAGGCUGCCCUAUGGAUAGCCAAGGGUCACCGUGCAGGUGGGACAGGAGCUGUGGCUGCUGUCCCAAGGGGACCCACAUCUUGCCCUGCGCCUGUUGGCUGCUGCCAGCCCUUCUUCUCCUGCCCUAAGACCUUGGGGACAAACCCUGCAGGGACAAGGAUUCUCCUCACCUCUGAUGGCCUUUGACAUUCUCUGAUGACCAGCGCUGACCUCUGAUGACCAAGGUUGCCCUCUGAUGACCAAUGAAGACCCUGAUGAUUAAUGACACCCUCUGAUGAUCAAUAAAUCCCUCAGCAAAGCUACA